GAUGAACGCUAGCGGGAGGCUUAACACAUGCAAGUCGAGGGGCAGCAUAGGGUAGCAAUACUCUGAUGGCGACCGGCAAACGGGUGAGUAACGCGUAUGCAACCUACCCUGUACAGGGGGAUAACCCGGAGAAAUUCGGACUAAUAUCCCGUAAUAAUAUCCGGAGGCAUCUUUGGAUAUUUAAAGUUUCGACGGUACGGGAUGGGCAUGCGUAACAUUAGCUGGUUGGUAAGGUAACGGCUUACCAAGGCUAUGAUGUUAGGGGUCCUGAGAGGGUGGUCCCCCACACUGGUACUGAGACACGGACCAGACUCCUACGGGAGGCAGCAGUGAGGAAUAUUGGUCAAUGGGCGCAAGCCUGAACCAGCCAUCCCGCGUGCAGGAAGACGGCCCUAUGGGUUGUAAAACUGCUUUUCCAGGGAGAGAAACUUACGCACGUGUUGCGUGACUGACGGUACCCUGGGAAUAAGCAUCGGCUAACUCCGUG
rnacentral:rRNA from 1 species